rnacentral:rRNA from 1 species
UUUGAUCCUGGCUCAGAACGAACGCUGGCGGCAGGCUUAACACAUGCAAGUCGAGCGCCUCGCAAGAGGAGCGGCAGACGGGUGAGUAACGCGUGGGAAUCUACCGUACCCUACGGAACAACUCCGGGAAACUGGAGCUAAUACCGUAUACGCCCUACGGGGGAAAGAUUUAUCGGGGUAUGAUGAGCCCGCGUUGGAUUAGCUAGUUGGUGGGGUAAAGGCCUACCAAGGCGACGAUCCAUAGCUGGUCUGAGAGGAUGAUCAGCCACAUUGGGACUGAGACACGGCCCAAACUCCUACGGGAGGCAGCAGUGGGGAAUAUUGGACAAUGGGCGCAAGCCUGAUCCAGCCAUGCCGCGUGAGUGAUGAAGGUCUUAGGAUUGUAAAGCUCUUUCACCGGAGAAGAUAAUGACGGUAUCCGGAGAAGAAGCCCCGGCUAACUUCGUGCCAGCAGCCGCGGUAAUACGAAGGGGGCUAGCGUUGUUCGGAAUUACUGGGCGUAAAGCGCACGUAGGCGGAUAUUUAAGUCAGGGGUGAAAUCCCAGAGCUCAACUCUGGAACUGCCUUUGAUACUGGGUAUCUUGAGUAUGGAAGAGGUAAGUGGAAUUCCGAGUGUAGAGGUGAAAUUCGUAGAUAUUCGGAGGAACACCAGUGGCGAAGGCGGCUUACUGGUCCAUUACUGACGCUGAGGUGCGAAAGCGUGGGGGAGCAAACAGGAUUAGAUACCCUGGUAGUCCACGCCGUAAACGAUGAAUGUUAGCCGUCGGGCAGUUUGACUGUUCGGUGGCGCAGCUAACGCAUUAAACAUUCCGCCUGGGGGAGUACGGUCGCAAGAUUAAAACUCAAAGGAAUUGACGGGGGGCCCGCACAAGCGGKGGAGCAUGUGGUUUAAUUUCGAAGCAACGCGCAGAACCUUACCAGCUCUUGACAUCUGGGUCGCGGGUUACCGG